UACGAAGGGGGCUAGCGUUGCUCGGAAUCACUGGGCGUAAAGCGCACGUAGGCGGAUUGUUAAGUCAGGGGUGAAAUCCUGGAGCUCAACUCCAGAACUGCCCUUGAUACUGACGGUCUCAAGUCCGGGAGAGGUGAGUGGAACUGCGAGUGUAGAGGUGAAAUUCGUAGAUAUUCGCAAGAACACCAGUGGCGAAGGCGGCUCACUGGCCCGGUACUGACGCUGAGGUGCGAAAGCGUGGGGAGCAAACAGG
rnacentral:rRNA from 1 species